rnacentral:rRNA from 1 species
GAUGAACGCUAGCGGGAGGCCUAACACAUGCAAGCCGAGCGGUAUUGUUUCUUCGGAAAUGAGAGAGCGGCGUACGGGUGCGGAACACGUGUGCAACCUGCCUUUAUCUGGAGGAUAGCCUUUCGAAAGGAAGAUUAAUACUCCAUAAUAUAUUAAUUGGCAUCAAUUGAUAUUGAAAACUCCGGUGGAUAGAGAUGGGCACGCGCAAGAUUAGCUAGUUGGUGAGGUAACGGCUCACCAAGGCAAUGAUCUUUAGGGGGCCUGAGAGGGUGAUCCCCCACACUGGUACUGAGACACGGACCAGACUCCUACGGGAGGCAGCAGUGAGGAAUAUUGGUCAAUGGGUGCAAGCCUGAACCAGCCAUCCCGCGUGAAGGAUUAAGGUCCUAUGGAUUGUAAACUUCUUUUGUAUAGGGAUAAACCUACCCUCGUGAGGGUAGCUGAAGGUACUAUACGAAUAAGCACCGGCUAACUCCGUGCCAGCCGCCGCCGUAAAAC